CCUACGGGAGGCAGCAGUGAGGAAUAUUGGUCAAUGGGCGCGAGCCUGAACCAGCCAAGUAGCGUGAAGGAUGACUGCCCUACGGGUUGUAAACUUCUGUUAUAAAGGAAUAAAGUGAGGCACGUGUGCCUUUUUGUAUGUACUUUAUGAAUAAGGAUCGGCUAACUCCGUGCCAGCAGCCGCGGUAAUACGGAGGAUCCGAGCGUUAUCCGGAUUUAUUGGGUUUAAAGGGUGCGUAGGCGGCCUUUUAAGUCAGCGGUGAAAGUCUGUGGCUCAACCAUAGAAUUGCCGUUGAAACUGGCAGGCUUGAGUAUGUUUGCGGUAGGCGGAAUGCGUGGUGUAGCGGUGAAAUGCUUAGAUAUCACGCAGAACCCCGAUUGCGAAGGCAGCCUGCCAAGCCAUGACUGACGCUGAUGCACGAACGCGUGGGUAUCAAACAGGAUUAGAUACCCCGGUAGUC
rnacentral:rRNA from 1 species